GACGAACGCUGGCGGCGUGCCUAAUACAUGCAAGUAGGACGCAGUUGCGAACGGGUGAGUAACGCGUAGGUAACUACCUAUUAGAGGGGGAUAACUAUUGGAAACGAUAGCUAAUACCGCAUACUAGUAGAUGGACCUGCGUUGUAUUAGCUAGUAGGUAGGGUAAUGGCCUACCUAGGCAACGACACAUAGCCGACCUGAGGUGGUGCUCGGCCAACAUGUGACUGAGACAUGGCCCAGACUCCUACGGGAGGCAGCAGGAGGGAAUUUUCGGCAAGUGGGGGAACCCUGACCGAGCAACGCCGCGUGAGUGAAAAAGGUUUUCGGAUCGUAAAGCUCUGUUGUUAAGGAAGCGGUACUUAACCAGAAAGGGACGGCUAACUACGUGCCAGCAGCCGCGGUAAUAC
rnacentral:rRNA from 1 species